CUCCUUGACGACAGCUUCACUCUCUUCGCUGUCCACCGGAGCAUCGCUAGAAUUUUGGCCGCAUGAGGGAGCCGCUUGAGACAUCUACACGAGACAGUAAAGAAAGGAAAAGGGGAAAAAAACACGCUCUUUUCAUUUAAAGUAAAUCUGCAUCUAGAUUUUCAUAAAUCGGCAGGAGUUGACGCGCUGUGGCGACCCUUAACGGGACAAGCCGAAAGGAAAAGAAGCCGUUUCUUUCACUCGUCUCCCCCCACCCUGCAAAUUACGGUUGAUUUGAGGUAAAAUAGUUGAAUUAUAAAUAUGUAUUGUGUGCGUUUUUUUACAUGACAGUAAGCAGCUGCAUGCAGUUGCGAAGGCACCUUAUGUUAGAUGUACAGUACCAAGUAGUACUUAAUCCAAUUAGCUAAACCAAGGGACGAUGAUAUUAGUUGCAUUUCUUUUAAAUAUUUUACUCUGUAUUUUCUUUAGUUAUUACUUUUAUUAACAUAAUACUUGCUGAAAAACAUCCUGGCUCAAUUUUAUUUGUAAUAUUUCUCUUAAAUGUCAAAUGGUGUUGAUUAUUCUCUCCUCCUGCAUAUGCAUCUCAUUUUAAUUAAUAUUCCUGCAUUGAAAGACAAAUGUCAACAUUAAUUAGCCUUGACAUUUUUUACAGUCUUUCACUUGCCCCCCCCCCCCCCCCCCAAAAAAAGUCAAGUUUUAAUUUCCCAGUACAAUAAAAUAGAUGUGGAAUAUAACUUUGUUGCUACAUCACCUUAUAUUAGAUUUGGGAAAGGAAAUUCUAUUAAGUGCAUUAUACUCUAUUAAUCAAUUUAUUUGAAAUGUAGUAUUUUUCUAUUAAUUGUAAUAUUCAACUUAAUUUUAAUCAAUUGCAUUAUUAUGCCUUUUGUAUUUCAUCAAAUACAUAUUUGAUUGCAACUCAUUUAUAUUAAAGCUAGACUGGCAGAAGAGCAGUAUGCCUUUUAGAUACUAACCUGUAUAUGCAUGAUUAUUUUGAUGCGUCCAUUAUACGUACUAGAGCGGCUCCAGGACAUACUUGGCAAAUAAAGAUGAUUCUGAUACUGA